rnacentral:rRNA from 1 species
UACCUGCUCUUCGAGUGGUGUGGAUGUUUAUUGGGCCUAAAGCAUCCGUAGCUGGCUGGGCAAGUCCCCUGUUAAAUCCACCGAUUUAAUCGUUGGUGUGCGGGGGAUACUGUUCGGCUAGGGGACGGGAGAGGCCGACGGUAUUUUCGGGGUAGGGGUGAAAUCCUAUAAUCCCGGGAAGACCACCAGUGGCGAAGGCUGUCGGCUAGAACGCGCCCGACGGUGAGGGAUGAAAGCUGGGGGAGCGAACCGGAUUAGAUACCCGGGUAGUCCCAGCUGUAAACGAUGCAGGCUAGGUGUUUGGGCGGCCACGUGCCGCUCUAGUGCCGCAGAGAAGUCGUUAAGCCUGCCGCCUGGGGAGUACGGCCGCAAGGCUGAAACUUAAAGGAAUUGGCGGGGGAGCACACAAGGGGCGAAGCUUGCGGUUU